rnacentral:rRNA from 1 species
CCCUACGGGGCGCAGCAGUAGGGAAUCUUCCACAAUGGGCGAAAGCCUGAUGGAACAACGCCGCGUGGGUGAAGAAGGUCUUCGGAUCGUAAAACCCUGUUGUUAAAGAAGAAAGUGCGUGAGAGUAACUGUUCACGUUUCGACGGUAUCUAACCAGAAAGCCACGGCUAACUACGCGCCAGCAGCCGCGGUAAUACGUAGGUGGCAAGCGUUAUCCGGAUUUAUUGGGCGUAAAGGGAACGCAGGCGGUCUUUUAAGUCUGAUGUGAAAGCCUUCGGCUUGACCGGAGUAGUGCAUUGGAAACU